rnacentral:rRNA from 1 species
CGUGUAGGCGGCCAGGUAGGUCCGACGUGAAAACUGGAGGCUCAACCUCCAGCUGUCGUUGGAAACCAUCUGGCUAGAGUCCGGAAGAGGAGAGUGGAAUUCCUGGUGUAGCGGUGAAAUGCGCAGAUAUCAGGAAGAACACCAAUGGCGAAGGCAGCUCUCUGGGACGGUACUGACGCUGAGACGCGAAAGCGUGGGAGCGAACA